rnacentral:rRNA from 1 species
UUGAACGCUGGCGGUAUGCUUAACACAUGCAAGUCCGAACGGUUAACAGGCCUUCGGGCGCUGACGAGUGCGGACGGGUGAGUAACGCGUAGGAAUCUGCCUCAUAGUGGGGGACAACGUGGGGAAACUCACGCUAAUACCGCAUACGCCCUACGGGGGAAAGCGGGGGGAUCUUCGGACCUCGCGCUAUGAGAUGAGCCUGCGUUAGAUUAGCUAGUUGGUAGGGUAAAGGCCUACCAAGGCGACGAUCUAUAGCUGGUCUGAGAGGACGAUCAGCCACACUGGGACUGAGACACGGCCCAGACUCCUACGGGAGGCAGCAGUGGGGAAUAUUGGACAAUGGGCGCAAGCCUGAUCCAGCAAUACCGCGUGUGUGAAGAAGGCCUUAGGGUUGUAAAGCACUUUCAAUUGGGAGGAAAACCUGCCGGUCAAUACCCGGUAGCUUGACAUUACCUUUAGAAGAAGCACCGGCUAACUCCGUG